rnacentral:lncRNA from 1 species
GAAAAGCUCUGCUUACCGUUUCAGUUCCAAAAACUAAAAGAAAAUCAAACCGAAUUUCAAUAAAUUUCGCAAUAAAAAAAAUUAAAUCCAACAACAAAAACGAAAGCAAGCAAUUUCGUUUGCCACAUUUCGUCAUCAGACCAAAAUUUGCCGCAUUGCAGCAUUGCUUGCAUGUGUGUAUGUAUGUAGCAAUCCAGAAAUUUAUACGGAAAAGUGAUACAAGUGCGGAAGCUGUACAGUUUUAUUUUGUAUCUUAUUAAAAAAUAGUGAGCUACAAAACUAGAAAAGUUUUUAUCAAAUACUUAUCUAUAUAAUAUAAAAUAUUAAUUUGAAAAAUAGCAACAACUAACCCUCGUUUAGAUUUCUUUUCAAGUGAAAUAAUUUAUUCUGAGGAAAAAGUUAGACACUCCAUUUUAAAAUAAAAAAUAAUUUAAAUAAAAAUAAUAAUUUUGUGCAAACCAGCCCAAAAACAACCAAAAAUGAGUGUAAAGUGUUAACGAAAUAUUUAUAACCAACUGUAAAAUCCCCAAAUUCUGCGGUCAGCAACCAAGCAAAAACACUUGGAAAUCAUCGGCCAACGAAGAAGUCUAGUGAACACAACUGAAAAUUUCCAUUAAUUUAACGGCGACUUAAUCAUCAAACUAAAAUGUUGCUGUUGUCGCUGAUUUUGACGCUUUCGCUAGGAUUGGCAAAUGGAGCCAUAUUACCAGGUGAGUUUACACCAUAAAAGAUUGCACCAACGACAUUCCUUUGGACAAAGGCAAAUCCAACCAGAUAGCAGUGAAGUAUUUAAAAGAUAAAUAACCGCUUAGCUAAGCGCUUAACUACAUAAGCGCCUAAGCAUCUAAGCAUUGGUGUGUGUCUGGCAUGAGUGGAGCGUUUAAAUGCUUACGGCCUGACACGCUACUAAGUGGCGCACUUCAGACGUUGCCAACAAAACUGACACUUCAGAGCGAAAAAAAUUCUAAAGAUAACCCCGAAGGAGUGAAAAAGAAGAAAAAGAAAAUUUAAGU